AACAGACACUGGUUGAACUCCCACUAUGUGCUAAACACAGGUGUGGAGACAUGUGAAUAAGACAUGACCAUCACUCUCAAGACAGUUUCAACUAAAUGAAGAUAUUGGACAACUCAUGGAAUCAUGAAGAAGUGUUGAGGAAGAAAGCCAGUACGUUCAGUUUUGAACACGGAGAAUUGAAUGUGCCCGAAGGACAACCAAGAGGAAAUUCUGGGAGGUUCUGAAGCCUUCCAUGGUCACAUGGACCCUGUGCUUCUCUGUCAGCAGUGCAGGAGGGUGCGUCCUCCAGAGGCCCCAGACAGGCGUUAACAAGGAAUCUGUGAAAAUGAAAACAGCGAUGAUCACAUUCUACAAUUAUUUGUUCAACUCCUCCUAUUUGCUCAGCAAUGUGCUAAUCUUGCUAUGGCCCAGCUGUGAAAGAGCCAUAAGAAAAAACUGAGAUGGACAGUCCUUACAAGGGGAAAGCAGUAUCAGUUUCUCAUGUGGCACCACAAUUCCAUUUACAAAGCUUUCCCAAACACUGACACUCCAUCCCUGACUCUAGAAGACAGAUGCCUUUGCUGCUGGUCAGUCGGCAUUGUUCCCACUUUUCACAUGAGGUGUGCUGUUGUCUGUGACUU